CCUGUCCCUGUCCUGUCCCAUCCCUGCUCUCCGUUCCCGUUCCCUGGAUGUUCCCGUCCCUCCGUGGCUCUGCAGGGUGCAGCAGCUCUGCUGGCAGAGCCGGGGCUGCUGUGCCAGGAGAAAACCCGGGAGGGCUGGUGGGGAGCAGCAGCUGUGCCAGGCAUGGAAACAGCGCGGGGAGAGGAUGGAUCCCUAAUUAGCCAUGGCCAGAAAACGUCCAUUAACAGCGACAGCCGCGGGCUUUGGGCUGGACACAAAGGCAGCUCCCCAGAGGCAGCCCAGGCUCCACGGCAAUCCCUGGCACGGCGCUCCCGGAGCUCUCCAGAUGGGAAAGGGGCUCCACAGGUGGGGAGCAGCACCUUCAGCUGCCUCCCCGAGAGCUGCACAAAUUAAAGCCUCAUUAAGUGUCCCCCCGUGAUUGAGCUGGGCUUUGUUUGGGUUGGUAACAGAGCCGGCAAAUCCGGGAAAUAAUGAAAUAACUGCGUUUUCAUCCUCUGCUGAUAGGGGAGUUUAAUUAGUGCUGCAUUUCCAAUAACUCUGAUCCCGACGUGCCGCAGAUCCUUCCUGGAUAACGGGAUAAUGAUUGGAAUCCUGUCCUGCAGCCCCGCGCUGGAGGCAGGGCUGCUCCAUUUAAUCACGCUGGAGAAGCGCUGGCAGCUCUCUGCAGCUCAGCCUCUCCCUAAUUACAUUUCUGGAGUUUUAGUAAAUUGAAAGGGAAAACGCAGGAACAAAAUAAUUAAACCCGAAGAGGAAGUGAAUAUUAAAAAGCAGCAGCUAGUUAAAAUUCUUGCACACAGCUCCUCUCGGAGCCAUCGGUUUAAUCAGAUUCCCGUGGAAAUCACACUGGGAGAGGUGACACCUCCAAACCUGGGGCUGCAGCAGCGUUUGGUGUCCCUGUCACAGGGAGAUGCCACCUCCCAUCCAGCUGGGAAUUGUCCCCAGAGCUGGGAUUUCGGAGCUCUCCCUUCACACACACCAAAAUCCCCAUCCCAACAGGCAAGGUUCAAGCGCCGGGAAUUGUUUAUUUAUCACAGAAUUGUGUUCCAGACAUGGAGAAGUGACAAUAAUUCCCUUCUCCCAGCCACCGAGGGGGACAGAGCUGAGCCUAAACAACUUCUGCAAAGGGAGGAGAGGUGAAAUUCCACCUCCAUUUCCACAGGUGCCCAAUUCAAUUUUCUACUUCCUGGGAACAAGGGAAUUUUGAUCAGGAGAACCUGAAAAAGAGCUUGAGUUCCCCACUGCGGAGCGCCACUCGGCCAGUGCUGGAUUAAAGGAGAAUUUCUGUUUGUUCUGGUUACAGAGAGGCUGCCGGGGAGGAGGGGGGAUCUCUUUGUUGUCCGUAAAACUGGUGCUGUAAUUUCCUCUGCCACUUCAGCCCUGAGAGGAGAAACACAUGGCUAAAAACCCACAGCUUAGCUAGGAAUAUAAAAUGGGAAUGGGAAGAGAAUGGAAAGCGGUUUCCAGGAGAAAUGUGGGGAACGCAAACAGCAGCCCUGCACCUCACAGAGCCAUUUCUUCAUCACCUGCUGCUCUGUCACCACGGGCAGCGCUUGGGGACACGAAGGAACGCUGCAGGAUCCAAGGAUUGCUCCAAGGACUGGAGGAGACACCUGCCAGGAAAAGCCGGGACGCUGCGGAGAACAUUCCCAAUAAUCCAGGAGCCAGGUGGAUGCGGCAGCCCCCGGCCACCAGAAGCAUUUCUCACCUGGGAGAAGGAGAGAGAUGACAAAAAUAUUUUGCAUUUCCCAUUUCAAUAAACAUGGCUGUGCCAAAGAAGCUGGUUAAUUCUGUUCUUGGGGGGCUUUGUGUGCCAUGGAAUGAAUUCACCCCGAGGCUGGAAGGGGCAGGAGGGGAAAGCUGGCCCUGGAUAAACUUCUCUACAAACAUUCAGGUAAUUAAUGACUGAUAACAAUGACAUCUUUGCUUCACUGCUUACAAACCACUACAAAUUAGCAAAGAAGAGCCAUACCAAUAAAUGAAUUGCUUCUUUUGCUGGAAAUGUAUAAGUAAAAAAGUUUUGUAUCAGCCUGGGUGUGGAGGAACUUUGUCAGCCUCGCAUGAGCCGGGGCCAAGGAGAAAGCCAGGCCUCGCUUGAUAACACUGGAAAACAGGGGUGGAGUCUUAUUUCUCAUGACGUUUUUGGAGGAUUCUGGUAACACUUCCUCACAGAACUGUGAGGGGAAACAGCAGCCGCCAUUCCCUUGGCAGCCAGGCCCUCAUGGAGCCGUGAGGGGAGAUGAUGGUUCCUGCCAUUCCCUCAGGCAGGUGUCCCCUCAUGGAGCCCUGAGGGGAGAUGGUUCUCACCAUUCCCUCAGGCAGGUGUCCCCUCAUGGAGCCGUGAGGGGAGAUGGUUCCCGCCAUUCCCUCAGGCAGGUGUCCCCUCAUGGAACCAUGGUGGGAGAUGACACCUGCCAUUCCCUCAGGCAGGUGUCCCCUCAUGGAGCCCUGAGGGGAGAUUGUUCCCGCCAUUCCCUCAGGCAGGUGUCCCCUCAUGGAGCCCUGAGGGAAGGGGGAGAUGGUUCCCGCCAUUCCCUCAGGCAGGUGUCCCCUCAUGGAGCCGUGAGGGAAGGGGCCAUGGCACGUCCAGAAACCUCCCCAGGGAGGGUGGCCAGGCGGUGCCGCCUGCGGGGUCCGUGUGGGGCAGGGCUCAGCGGCGGCCAUGCGGGCGGUGGAACGGCACUGCGACAGCAGCAACCCGGUGCCGUGGGUGACAGCGGGGGACGCGGCGCUGCCAGCCAUGGAUUCAUCAGCGGGGCAGCAGGAGGAGCGCCCAGCGCUGCCAGCCAUGGAUUCAUCAGCGGGGCAGCAGGAGGAGCGCCCAGCGCUGCCCUGCCACAAAGUGAUCCCUUGGGAGAGCGCAGGAGCGGCGGGAGCUGCCACAAAGGGAGGCGUCCCGGAACGCGCGUGCGCGGGACCGGCCGGGCCGCGCGUGCUCGUGCCGGGGGUGUGUGUGGGGGGGGAGCGGUCUCGCGCGACGGGCGCGCGGCUAUAAAAGGCGGUGGGCGUGGCCGGCGGCGCCAGUCCCGCAGUGCGCGUGCGCGGCCGUGAGGGGAGCGCUGGGCAGCGCCAUAUCCCCGGCCCCCCCCCCGCUCGCCGCCCCGGCACCGCGCGCAUGCGCGCUAAGCUGCUGCGGGCACCUGCGCAAUAGUGAUCCCCGGGUCGCGCUCGGCGGAGACCGGCCCGGGAGGACAUGCUGCCAAAUAGUGAUCCCUUGCUGCUGGUGGUCUCCUGAGGGGGCUGCGGGGUCCGGGGGCCGUCCCCACACACCGCACCUGCCCGGGCAGCGCUCCCCGCCUCCCUCCGGCCUCCCAGCAGCGCCGCACCGCCGGCGGGGCCGCUCCUCGGGCCGCGAGGUGCAGCUGAGCUCUGUUUCCUGCUGCCUGU